rnacentral:rRNA from 1 species
UACGAAGGGUGCAAACGUUGCUCGGAAUUAUUGGGCGUAAAGCGCACGUAGGCGGGUUCAAAAGUCGGAUGUGAAAUCCCUCGGCUCAACCAAGGAAGUGCAUCCGAAACUGUGAAUCUUGAGUACCAAAGAGGAUCGCGGAAUUCCCGGUGUAGAGGUGAAAUUCGUAGAUAUCGGGAGGAACACCAGUGGCGAAGGCGGCGAUCUGGGUGGAUACUGACGCUGAGGAGCGAAAGCCAGGGGAGCAAACGGG